AAAAAGGUAAGCUAAAUAAGCUAUUGGGUUCAUACCCCACUCAUGUAGGAACUAGCCUACCCUUUUUA
rnacentral:tRNA from 1 species